rnacentral:rRNA from 1 species
CUGGCGGCGUGCUUAACACAUGCAAGUCGAACGGGAGUAUUGAAGAAGCUUGCUUAGAGAUACUUAGUGGCGGACGGGUGAGUAACGCGUGAGGAGCUGUCCUAUGCAGGGGGACAACAGCUGGAAACGGCUGCUAAUACCCCAUAAGCCGAGAGGUAAAAGGAUCAAUCCGGCAGAGGAGGUACUCGCGUCCUAUCAGCUAGUAGGUGAGGUAACGGCUCACCUAGGCGAAGACGGGUAGCCGGCCUGAGAGGGCGAACGGCCACACUGGAACUGAGAUACGGUCCAGACUCCUACGGGAGGCAGCAGUGGGGAAUAUUGGGCAAUGGGGGAAACCCUGACCCAGCGACGCCGCGUGGGUGAAGAAAUCCUUCGGGAUGUAAAGCCCUGUUGUAUGGGAAGAGCGGAAGACGGUACCAUACGAGGAAGCCCCGGCAAACUACGUGCCAGCCGCAGC